rnacentral:rRNA from 2 species
UGGGGAAUAUUGGGCAAUGGGCGCAAGCCUGACCCAGCAACGCCGCGUGAAGGAAGAAGGCUUUCGGGUUGUAAACUUCUUUUCUCAGGGACGAAAAAAAUGACGGUACCUGAGGAAUAAGCCACGGCUAACUACGUGCCAGCAGCCGCGGUAAUACGUAGGUGGCAAGCGUUAUCCGGAUUUACUGGGUGUAAAGGGCGUGUAGGCGGGAAGGCAAGUCAGAUGUGAAAACUAUGGGCUCAACCCAUAGCCUGCAUUUGAAACUGCUUUUCUUGAGUGUCGGAGAGGUAAUCGGAAUUCCGUGUGUAGCGGUGAAAUGCGUAGAUAUACGGAGGAACACCAGUGGCGAAGGCGGAUUACUGGACGAUAACUGACGCUGAGGCGCGAAAGCGUGGGGAGCAAACAGG